ACUGAAUUUUUUAAUUACAUGUGGUUUGUAUAUAAUUUGAAUUUGCAAUUCUGUGGCAGUUGCCGCAAGGAGCCCAAGGAUUUUUUCCGUCCUUUACUAAAUAAAAGAUAAAAAAGGUCGUAUGGCGAAAUAACAUAUGAUGAUACAUGCAUGUGUCGGCAAAAUAUAAAUAGAAAUAUUUCCCACGAAAUAUGGGUUUUUAUGUCACACCUGAACUAAUUAGAUAAGUGAGUAACAAUUUAAUUAUAUUUAAUCUUAAUCCCUGGCGCGCCUGUUGAAGAGGGAGGUAAUUUAGAGCACUUGAAACUACGUAACAGCUGCGCCAAGAUCAAGGUCGAUCUCUUGGUAUUAAACCAAGAUAACUUAGAUAUUUUGCAAGUCUCCAAUAUCAGUGGUCAAGUGAAGAACUCAGAAUUUAUCUUCAACAUCAUUUUGGUCCUAUUUUCAGGUUAGCGAUACAUUUCUUUUUUACACAAUCAUUCUUUCACCUAUUAUUCUCUUCUAUUAUGGCUUUAUCCAACC